UCAAUCAAUAUUUUAUUACUAUACUAUAUAUUCACAUGUUAUAAAACUAUGUAAUAAAUUUUUUAUAAAAUUUUUUUCAAAGUUUUUUUUAAAGUUUAAUAAAGAUAUUAUCAGGGCUCACGCCACCUGAUUGGUGGCCAGGGCCACGCUAUCUAGUUAAGCGUGAAUUAUAAGAAAAAAUAAUCUUUAUAGAGUUGGUUGUGUUUGUUCUUAAUUGGCUGAUGAUGAUGCUUUCUACAAAAUUUUGCAAAUUAAAAUAUUUGUACAACGCAAAAAAAAAGCGAAUUCUCUUUGGAAACCUGAUUAGUAUAAUUAAUAAUAUAAACCUGAUAUGUAAUAAAGAAUGACGUGCAUGUUCAAUUCAAUAAACUUGAGGAUAAUACUAAGCCAUUGUAAAAUGGUUCAAAUGUAACUUUUUAAAACUUAAUCCUAUGUCAUUUAAUAAUUGCAGGACAUAAACAUGAAAUAACUUGGGCACAUAUUGAUCGUAAUCAAAUUGGGAAGACUUGAAAUAACUAUAGACAACAAAGAUUUCAAUAAACAUCUUACUCAAGUCUGCGAAUCAAAAGCUUAGCAUUACCUUUUCAAAUUAGCUUAGCAUUAGUUUAGCAAAUUAGCUUAGCAAAAUCAAGCGAAUCAAAAAGUUAGCAUUCUUAAAAGAGUAGCUAAGUAUCUCGACCUUCAGGAAAAGAAAAUAGUUAUAAAACGCCUUCUUUAAAUCACAGUUCAUGUAAUGUCCUCUUGGUGGAUGUGUUGCAGUAAAGCAACAAAUGGAAAAUUAAUAAGUUGCAUACAAGGGCUCUUCGAUUGACAUACAAUGAUUACGAAUACACAUUUAAAAAGCUUUUAGAAAAAGAUAACUCUGUCUUAGUACAUCAAAAAAAUUUGCAGUUUUUAGUUAUAGAAAUGUUCAAAAUUAAAAAUGAUCCUUAUGAAAUCUCACUUAGUGACAUUAUAUUCGUUAAUUUGAAAACGCUCAAUACACGAACUAAUGCUUACUUUAGUUCUCCUUGAAUUAAUUCGGAAUUGUACGGAAAACUUUCACUUUGCUUGAAUUAAUUCGGAAUUGUACGGAAAACUUUCACUUUGCUUGAAUUAAUUCGGAAUUGUACGGAAAACUUUCACUUUGCUUGAAUUAAUUCGGAAUUGUACGGAAAACUUUCACUUUGCUUGAAUUAAUUCGGAAUUGUACGGAAAACUUUCACUUUGCUUGAAUUAAUUCAAAUUGUACGGAAAACUUUCACUUUGCUUGAAUUAAUUCGGAAUUGUAUGGAAAACUUUCACUUUGCUAUCUAGGACCAUUAGUUUGGAGCUUUAUCCCAAGAGACAUUUUUACCUCGACCAACAUUAAAAGUUUUAAGAAAAAAAUUAGAAUGUGCAAUGCAAUAUAAUGCCCAUAAAAAAUAUGUCAUAAAUAAAAUUAAAAUGGCUAUAAUAACUAGAACAAAUUUACAUGUGGUAUAAAUUCACCAUCAUUGGUAUAUAGUUCAGUAUUUUACUGUGACUUGGUGUAUACAAUAUAUUUGUAAAAUCUUCCGAUAAAUAAAGUUAAAUAAAUAAAUAAAAGUAGAUAAAGCAGAUAAAGCUUUUUUUUGACCAUGUUAGAGUUGACCCUUAACGAUUAAACGAAUAAAAAUAAUUCUCUUAAGUUUUUUCAACUGCAUCACUAAAUCUUGAUCCCUUUAGUUCAAAAGCCUUGUGUGGGUCCUGAUUAUUAAAGUCGGUUUAUUAGAGUAAUUAGAUUUGAAAAAGUUUACUAUUCAUAGUUUAAACAAAAUUUUGUUUUGAUUACUAUAAAUUUUACUGUACUUCUUUUUAUUAUAUUUUACUUUAGGACGAUUCUAUUCUUUUAAAAGAUUGGAGUUAAGAAAGGGUAUCAAUUUUCUUUCGAAUAAAUAAGAAAAAAAAAAAGAAGAAUGACGGAAAAAAGAAGAAUGGCAAAUAGAAGACAAACGACGAAAAGAAAAUAUUAUUUAUAAAAGCAGAUUAUGAAAACGUUUAUAUGACAGAUUUCCGACAUCUUUUUAAGAACCAUUUUUUAAAUCUUUAAAUAUCUUUGAAGUUACGAUAAAAAAAGUUCAGAUAGAAAUUUUUUAAAUUUUUUUUAUAAAUAAAUCGUAAAAACGUUGAGUUGGCUUUAAUAAUACUUGUUUUCAAGCGAUUCACUCUUAAUAUUUAUUAGUGCGCAACAAUUUAUUGAAAUGCGAAUUCAAAUUUACUAUAUUGUAAUAAUGCCAGCUGUCCAAGCCUGUAUAAUACUGGUCAUGGUAAGUCUAUUUCACACCGAGCAUUUCUGGACUUGUUUAUUAUUUACUUCAAUAUUUUUAAGAAAAUUUUGGAAAAAUAUAAUUCAUUUAAAAA
rnacentral:lncRNA from 1 species